AUGGACAAGAUUCUGAAAGCAUCAUUUUUAGUCCUGGCCCUUCACCUAGCCUGGGUGAGUGGCCAGCAGCAAGAGAGGCGUGACCAGCAGCAGGUGAGACAAAGUCCCCAAUCUCUGACAGUCUGGGAAGGAGGGAAUUCAGUUCUGAACUGCACUUAUGAGAACAGUGCAUUUGACUACUUCCCAUGGUACCGGCAAUUCCCCGGUAAAGGCCUUGAAUUCCUGAUAACGAUAAAUUUAGUGACAAAUAAAAAGGAAGAUGGAAGAUUCACAGUCUUCUUCAGUAAAAGCACGAAAGAGCUCUCCCUGCACAUCACAGAUUCUCAGCCUGGAGACUCAGCCACCUACUUCUGUGCAGCAAGAGCACAGUGCUCUCCAGGCACCUGCAGCCCACACCCAAACCUGCAGCUGAGGCGCUAG